AAGGAGAAAAGAUUUACAUAAAGCUUCUAACUUUAUUAUGAUGGUUAAAUUCCAUUACUCCUUU
rnacentral:tRNA from 1 species